rnacentral:rRNA from 1 species
AAACUAACAAGGAUUCCCCUAGUAACGGCGAGUGAAGUGGGAAAGCUCAACUUUGUAAUCUGGCUGUCUUUGGCAGUCCGAGUUGUAGUCUAGAGAAGUGUUAUCCGCGCAGACCCUUAUAGAUUUCGGUUGGAAUGCCAAGUCAAAGAGGGUGAGAAUCCCGUAUUUGAUAAGGUGGUCUUGUGCAUUGUGAUACAUUUUCAAAGAGUCGAGUUGUUUGGGAAUGCAGCUCAAAGUGGGUGGUAAAUUCCAUCUAAAGCUAAAUAUUGGCGAGAGACCGAUAGCGAACAAGUACCGUGAGGGAAAGAUGAAAAGCACUUUGGAAAGAGAAUGAAAUAGUACCUGAAAUUGCUGAAAGGGAAACGAGUGAAGUUAGACUUGCGCAGUUGGUAUUCAGCCUUGGCUUCGGUCUUGGUGCAUUUGCCUUCUAUUGCAGGCCAACAUCAGUUUACUUUGCGGUAAAAGGGUUUGGGGAAUGUGGCUUCUUCGGGAGUGUUAUAGCCCUUUACUGGAUGCCGAAUCGUAGACUGAGGAACGCAGCGCGCCUUUAUGGCAAAGCUUUGAAGCUUCGAGCGCUUAGGAUGUUGGUAGAAUAGCUUUACACGAC